AGAGAAAGACACAGGAACUGAAGAAGCUCCUGGCUCUGAGCUGUCAGCACAGAGCCCGACGCGGGGCUCGAACUCACAAGCCAUGAGAUCAUGACCUGAGCCGAAGUCGGACGCUUAAGUGACUGAGCCACCCAGGCGCCCCUAUGCCUCAGAUCUUUGUGUGUUACGGUGUUGUGUUGUACAUCAUCCCUUGAUUGAAAACCAGCAACAGAACAGGUCUCAGAUUGCCCGCAUCACAAUGAGAUAAGCUUCCGGAAGAUUCUGAAGUCUGAAAACCUGUGUGGCAGACAUACAGGCUGAUCGUUCAGUCUCCAUCCAAACUGGGGCACUAGAGGCAGGGCAGAAGAGGUGGGCACUAAAAAUAAUUACAGGUGCAGGGGUACCUGGUAAGCUCAGAGCAAAUUCAGCUCUACAGAGAACAUGUUCAUGGCUAGUUUUUCUCCACAUUGAAACGUGUAAAUAUUUCACCCAAAUGCAUUUAUGGAGACUGGCUUCUUGUUUCUGUCCUGAGGAGCUUUCUUUGGCAAAUACUCCGACGAGGUGGCCCAGGGCUCAGGCUGCAGACCCCACUUGCAGGCAGAGGAAAGCAGGGUGACAGAUGUCAACAUGUCUGUGUCCUCAAGAGGAUUGCAAAGCAGAGGGAAGAGCCUGGCCUCUAGAGAUGGAUCCGGACUUCGGUUCCUGUUCUCUGUUUGUCACCAGCUGUGCGACACAGGGCGCCCGGUUAAAUUUGAAUUGCAGAUAAACCGCCAGUACUCUCUGGCUGGCACAGGCAGGCCUCAGUUUCUCUCAACGUCUCGGGUUCCUCAUCCCAGAGCAACGUCCACCUGGCAGGACAGGAUGAUUCCGGGCCCCACGGGUGCCGAGCCCAGUGCAGACCCCCUCAGCCAGGGGGAAAGACACCGCCGUGAGUUCUACAGCUGCAAGGAACUAGACUCUUCCGACAGCUGUGGGAGUUCAGAAGAGGACCCUGCCCUCAGAUGAGACCCCCAGGCCCCACUGAUACCUUGAGUACAGCCUUGUGAGAGUCGCCCAGAGGACCAGCCUGGACUCCUGACCCACAGCAAGUAUGAGAUAACGAGCCGGUGUUAUUCAGCCUGCUGGAUUUGUGGUGCCUUGUUACACGGCAGAGGCAGCUAACGCACACGCCGAGUGUCCCACCCCUGCGGGCCCGUGGUGCGGGGAAGGAACCUGAGGGGUGGCCCCGCGAAAUUAAGCGUCACGGGUCUGGCGUGUGGACCCCGAGUGGAGGACGGAGGCAAACCUUCCCUCAGGGCGACCAGGGGUGCGGGCUGGGCUGGAAUCGGGGCCCCCCGCCCCCAAGCAGGCAUGGCCCCUCUCACUCCUGCGCCCACAGGGAGCAAGACGCCCUCCAAGCACCAAGCCCUCAUCUCAGGCUUGAGCAGGAGGAGCGGGAGGAGGGAGAGGGAAGUGGAAAACGGCAGAGAAUGAGAAGGCAGAGGAGGGCGCAGGGAGGUGCGCGCUCUUCCCUCUGCCUGCGAGGGACCAGGGUGCCAGGGGCCUGCCGAGGACGCCCGUCGGCAUAACAGUGCCAGCCCAGCCGGUGCAGCAAGACGCCGCCGACGUCCCCGGCCUUGGCUGCGGCCACACCUUCUUCCU